UGCCGGUGUGCGAGUGCGGUGCGGGCUCUCUCUCUCCCCCUCUCCCGGCCCGACCAGAAGACGGACGGGCCGCUUCCGAGGGCGAGGACGGUUCUCCCCUUUUGCGGCCUGAGCCGCCGGACGUGCGACGCGACGCGAUGUCGAUGUGGUACUGUGUCCGGCCGUCGGUACUGUUUGUGAGGUACCCGGUUGAUCCGAGACGCCGCCGCCAAGGAGACGGGCUCUGUUUAGUUGGGAAUUAAAACCUGUGACACGGGGGUUCAUCCCGGAUUCGUUCCAGGACUUAGGGAUUGGAUAAACUAACGAAGAAUCAGCAGUUCAGUUGACAUAAACGCGGACCAGACACACAAACGGCAAGAAUCCGACCGUCUCGGGCAGACGUCCGGGGAUGGCGGAGGAACGCGGGCCCGCAAUAAUAAGGAGCGGCAGCGGCGGCGGCGAAGAAUGAAGAAGGCAGAAAAAACGGCAGAAAAAAAAUAAAGAAAAAAAGAGAACGACCACCUUAAAUGCGUCGACACACAGGAUCAACGACCUGCGGGUGCAAAACGUCUGGCGGUCGGUCGGACGCGGGAAGAGAAGGGUCGUCGAGAGCACAGGAGAACGCAGACGGCGUUACGCAACACGCCGACGGGGCUGGAAGUGGCGAAAAGGACGGAAACGCGUCCGCGUGACGCGGGAAUCGAGACGGAUUAAGAGGGAUUUACAAUGUUGUUUCAUGAAAGUACAAUGAAGAUGUUCCGCACAAAAUAUGCCCACCAGUCUCAUCUCAUCUCAUCUCAUCUCAUCGAUGGGAAUGUGGAUUUUAAACGGCCAUAAAACCGACGACACAAAAGAUCAGCUAACGUUGUGGAAUGCGGAUGCGUCAGCCAAACCUGAAAUAAACCAUGGGCAUUUGUGUGGGCAUUCAAUUCGCAAUGGAUGCGUGGAAUUUUGGUAUUCUCUUGGGUUCUCUCUCAGUUAGGUUGAGUGGAACCCGUAGAUCCGAACUUGUGUUAUUUUUCGAAGUCACGAGUUCGCUUUUACAGGUACCUCUAGACUGAACAUCCAACUUUCAACUUGUGGACGCACACCGUUCGUUUUGGCAACGACUCAAUCAUAUCUUGGUGUUUUGGUGAGGUAGUAG